GUGAGGAAUAUUGGUCAAUGGGCGCAAGUCUGAACCAGCCAUGCCGCGUGCAGGAAGACGGUCCUAUGGAUUGUAAACUGCCUUUAUUUGGGAAUAAACUCCGGUACGUGUACCGGCCUGAAGGUACCAAAUGAAUAAGCACCGGCUAACUCCGUGCCAGCAGCCGCGGUAAUACGGAGGGUGCAAGCGUUAUCCGGAAUCAUCGGGUUUAAAGGGUCCGCAGGCGGUCUUAUAAGUCAGUGGUGAAAGCCUACAGCUCAACUGUAGAACUGCCAUUGAUACUGUAGGAGUUGAAUUCGAUCGAAGUGGGCGGAAUGUGACAUGUAGCGGUGAAAUGCUUAGAUAUGUCACAGAACACCGAUAGCGAAGGCAGCUCACUAGGUCUGGAUUGACGCUCAGGGACGAAAGCGUGGGGAGCAAACAGGAUUAGAAACCCUGGUAGUCC
rnacentral:rRNA from 1 species